GCCCGCAUAGCUCAGUUGGUAGAGCACCUGAUUUGUAAUCAGGCGGUCGGGAGUUCAAAUCUCUCUGCGGGCUCCG
rnacentral:tRNA from 5 species